CUUGAUUUUCUUUCUCUAAGUCUUAGAAGGAUUCUUUUUAAUACUUAUAUGGUUGUUUUGUAGGGUCUAAUAAAGCUUGGAGACCAUGGUUGAGCCACCCAAAAAGCAUGUGAAGCCAAGGAAAGCAAAGGAGCUAAAAAGGGGAGAAAAAGAGUGCAGGUCUGAAAAUGAAUGGUGAUCUUCAAGGAGAUGCAAAUGUAUCUAUCUAAGCUGAAGUGCUACUGAUUUGAAGAGAAAGUAAUUGGAUUAGUGCAAGGUUUUGUUUAGCGACUUUAGAUUUUAUUUUCUUCCUUUUGAAGCUUAAUUAUCAUGUGUAAUGCUUGGUACACCUGAGAUUGAAGAUCUGCAAUUGAAGCAUGAUGGUGACAUGCUAUUUAAUGGCUAUGUUACUGCGUACAAUUAGUUCAUUUCAGCAGGCUUUUCUAGGAGGGAAUCAGAAAAGUUUAGGCAGUAUUUCUCUCAUUUAGUUAACAUUUCUCUAUUUAAUAUGUUUUUAAGGCUUAAAAUCAUGCAAUGUAUA